rnacentral:rRNA from 1 species
UACGUAGGUGGCAAGCGAUACUCGGAAUCACUAGGCGUAAAGCGCAGGUAGGCGGUUCGGUAAGUCUUUUGUGAAAGCUCCCGGCUUAACUGGGAGAGGCCAAGGGAAACUGCCGAGCUAGAGUGUGGUAGGGGAUACUGGAAUUCCUGGUGUAGCGGUGAAAUGCGUAGAUAUCUGGAGGAACACCGGUGGCGAAGGCGCCCACCUGGCCUGCUACUGACGCUGAAGCUCGAAAGCUAGGGGAGCAAACGGG